rnacentral:rRNA from 1 species
AGCCCAACGAGAUCGGGAUAACACCUGGAAACAGAUGCUAAUACCGGAUAACAACAGAUGAUGCCUAUCAACUGUUUAAAAGAUGGUUCUGCUAUCACUCUUGGAUGGACCUGCGGUGCAUUAGCUAGUUGGUAGGGUAACGGCCUACCAAGGCGAUGAUGCAUAGCCGAGUUGAGAGACUGAUCGGCCACAUUGGGACUGAGACACGGCCCAAACUCCUACGGGAGGCAGCAGA